rnacentral:rRNA from 1 species
AUUGAACGCUGGCGGCAGGCCUAACACAUGCAAGUCGAGCGGAUGAAGGGAGCUUGCUCCUGGAUUCAGCGGCGGACGGGUGAGUAAUGCCUAGGAAUCUGCCUGGUAGUGGGGGAUAACGUCCGGAAACGGGCGCUAAUACCGCAUACGUCCUGCGGUAGAAAGUGGGGGAUCUUCGGACCUCACGCUAUCAGAUGAUCCUAGGUCGGAUUAGCUAGUUGUGGGGGAAAAGGCCUACCACGGCGACGAUCCGUAACUGUUCUGAGAGGAUGAUCAGUCACACUGGAACUGAGACACGGUCCAGACUCCUACGGGAGGAAGCAGUGGGGAAUAUUGGACAAUGGGCGAAAUCCUGAUCCAGCCAGGCCGCGUGUGUGAAGAAGGUCUUCGGAUUUUAAAGCACUUUGAGUUGGGAGGAAGGGCAGUAAGUUAAUACCUUGCUGUUUUGACGGUACCAACAGAAUAAGCACCGGCUAACUUCGUG